rnacentral:pre_miRNA from 17 species
GGCCGCCAGCGAUAAUUGAUUUUCGCUGGCGGUUGUGUUAUACCAUCCGCCAGCGAUAAUCGAUUUUCGCUGGCGGCU